AAUACAGCGCACAGGGUGAAACGCCACAGACGAACCCUAAACACGUUCGCGACCUGCUCUGUUCCGACGGCGCCACCUGACAUGGCCUCGGAGAACGAGGCUUCCUCGCCGUCCACCGUUCAUCGCCUCUCCGAUCCACCCACCGCUCCUCAUUGCUCCAGGGGGCCGCGCCUCAUCGCCAGAUCACGCGCUGUACGCGCUCGGAGGCACUCGAUGCGGCGACGCGGGCGAUCUGGGUCAAUCCAGCCAAGGCGCGGGUGGGGAUCAAGUUGAGGCGAGGCUUGCGAGGGGAUCCGGCGUGGGAUGUGGCUGAAUCGGGGGCCGAUUGAUCCAGUCGGCCGCAGUGCGUGAGGACCUGGCCGUGGUUGCCGCUGAUCACCGCAUUUUGCUCCACGAGCCAGCCAUCACGUAGAGGGACCACCCAUCGACUUGAGCAUCCGACAACGCCCAUAACUAAGAGCCAGACCUUCUUGCCGCACCUAACUGUCAUGGUUGGUUCUUUCUCUCUUUUGUGGCAGCAGGGGAAGGAGGAGGAGUUCAGCAUGCCCCUCUGGUUCGUGCUCAUGCUCACUGUCAAGAACAACACUCAGGUCGGUGGAGUUCUUGCCUGUAUUGAUUGAGAUCUCAGCUUAACAAGGACAUAUUUUCUACACAUCAAGUGACUGGGUUGAUAAAAAAGUGUGCAUUUGUCAAACCUGGAAGACGAAGUAAAGAAACAGAAGUCAUGUAAAUCUUUGUGGUUCCAUUGCUACAAAUGGAGGCAGGUAAAUCCUUGCCUUAAAGCUGGCAUGUGAAGUGUUGUGACUGCUCUUAGAAAUAAUUUUGUAGUAUAUUGUAAGGAUAUCCAGCAAUAGUUUCCUGUAAACUGUUAUUUCGGCAGUCGAAAAAUAAUAUGCCAUUAAAUCA